AGAAACACCCCAACCACACGAAGGCUGGGGAUGGUGAAGGCAGCCAGGAUCUGCUUUUCAAGAUGCUUUUCUGUCUAUCCCCCAUCUUCACAGGGAAUCGUUCAGAAGACUUUACUCUAGGAGGAUACUUCACUCCUGUAAAUCUGCCAGCAAGUCAUAACAAUGUCCCUCUGAGUCAAUUCAUGGCUUGCCCCAGUGCUGCCUUCCUCUUGAGCGUCCUGCCUAACCUCACAUCUGGCCUCCACUACACAACUGCCCAUCUCUGGAGUCACUCAGCAAAGCACGCACCAAGGAAAGCUGUGGGUUUCUGUCAACCGGUGCAUCUACCACUGUGUCCUGGAGAGCUCCUAACCACCUCGGACCUGGAGAGGAGAGGGAAGCCCCUGUGCAUGCAGUACCACCCCAUCCUCUGGUCUCUUCCUGCUUAUCGGUCAGGAGUGGAUCUGUAGGGAUGCCUCACAACUUUGCUGCCUAUGACCAGUAAUGUCACCAUCCUGUCUGCAAUGCUUCCGGGAGAUGAUGUGAGAAUGACAUUGCCUGCAGCCUCUCUGUCUGAGCCAAUUAAACAGAGAAAUUAAACAAUGUCCGAGUCAAUUAAAAAGAGAAAUUAAACAAUGUGACAAACAGGAGACAAUGAAGAUGAAGCUCAGUGCUAAGUACAUCUUAAAGGAGGACAGCAAGCACAUGCAAAGCAGCUGGUGUCUCACUGCAGAGCUGCUGUGCCUCCCUGGACGUGCGCUCUUGCCUUGCUGGAAUCAUUUCAG
rnacentral:lncRNA from 1 species